rnacentral:rRNA from 1 species
UACGAAGGGUGCAAGCGUUACUCGGAAUUACUGGGCGUAAAGCGUGCGUAGGCGGUUUGUUAAGUCCGUUGUGAAAGCCCUGGGCUCAACCUGGGAAUUGCAGUGGAUACUGGCGAGCUAGAGUGCGGUAGAGGAUGGUGGAAUUCCCGGUGUAGCGGUGAAAUGCGUAGAGAUCGGGAGGAACACCCGGGGCGAAGGCGGCCAACUGGACCAGCACUGACGCUGAGGCACGAAAGCGUGGGGAGCAAACAGG